rnacentral:rRNA from 1 species
AUACGUAGGUGACAAGCGUUAUCCGGAUUUACUGGGCGUAAAGGGCGUGUAGGCGGUCUUGCAAGUCAGAAGUGAAAUUCCUGAGCUCAACUCGGGCGCUGCUUCUGAAACUGCAGGACUUGAGUGCUGGAGGGGAUAGCGGAAUUCCUAGUGGAGCGGUAAAAUGCGCAGAUAUUAGGAAGAACACCGGUGGCGAAGGCGGCUUUCUGGAAAGUAACUGACGCUGAGGCGCGAAAGCGUGGGGAGCAAACAGGAUUAGAUCCCCGGGUAGUCCACGCCGUAAACGAUGAAUACUAGGUGUAGGGGGUAUCGACUCCCUCUGUGCCGCAGUUAACACAAUAAGUAUUCCGCCUGGGGAGUACGGCCGCAAGGUUGAAACUCAAAUGAAUUGGCGGGG